rnacentral:rRNA from 1 species
CAGUAACGGCGAGUGAAGCGGCAAAAGCUCAAAUUUGAAAUCUAGCACUUUCAGUGUUCGAGUUGUAAUUUGAAGAAAGUCUCCUUGAAUAGUCCUUUAUCUAUGUUCCUUGGAACAGGACGUCAUAGAGGGUGAGAACCCCGUAUGAUUUUGGAUCCUAUUCUCUGUGGGAGUCUUUCGAAGAGUCGAGUUGUUUGGGAAUGCAGCUCUAAGUGGGUGGUAAAUUCCAUCUAAAGCUAAAUAUUGGCGAGAGACCGAUAGCGAACAAGUACAGUGAUGGAAAGAUGAAAAGAACUCUGAAGAGAGAGUGAAAAAGUACGUGAAAUUGCUGAAAGGGAAGGGCUUGAGGUCAGACUUGGUGUUUAAUGAUUAUCUUCUUUUCUUAAGUUGUGCACUCGUUUUUCACUGGGCCAAUAUCAGUUUUUGUAGUAGAGCACCUCUUGAAAUGUGAUUUCCUUCGGGGAGUGUUAUAGUCUUGAGACGAUCUACUACGGGGACUGAGGACUGCGCGUUAUGCUAGGAUAUUGGCGUAAUGACCUUAAGCCGCCCGUCUUGAAACACGGACCAAGGAGUCUAACGUCUAUGCGAGUGUUUGGGUGUAAAACCCGUACGCGUAAUGAAAGUGAACGUAGGUUGGGGCCUUCGGGUGCACAAUCGACCGAUCCUGACGUUUUCAGAUGGAUUUGAGUAAGAGCAUAGCUGYUGGGACCCGAAAGAUGGUGAACUAUGCCUGAAUAGGGUGAAGCCAGAGGAAACUCUGGUGGAAGCUCGUAGCGGUU